UCUACGGGGGGCUGCCGUGAGGAAUAUUGGUCAAUGGACGAGAGUCUGAACCAGCCAAGUAGCGUGAAGGAUGACUGCCCUAUGGGUUGUAAACUUCUUUUAUAAAGGAAUAAAACGAGGCACGUGUGCCUUUUUGCAUGUACUUUAUGAAUAAGGAUCGGCUAACUCCGUUCCAGCAGCCGCGGUAAUACGGAGGGUCCGGACGUUAUCCAGAUGUAUUGGGUUUAAAGGGAGCGUAGAGUGGUUGUUAAGUCAGUUUGGAAAGUUUGCGGCUCAACCGUAAAAUUGCAAUUGAUACUGGCAGUCUUGAGUACAGUUGAGGUAGGCGGAAUUCGUGGUGUAGCGGUGAAAUGCUUAGAUAUCACGAAGAACCCCGAUUGCGAAGGCAGCUUACUAAACUGUGACUGACAUUGAUGCUCGAAAGUGUGGGUAUCAAACAGGAUUAGAUACCCCAGUAGUC
rnacentral:rRNA from 1 species